rnacentral:misc_RNA from 1 species
AAAAAAAAGAUAGAGAAAAACUUGGAAGGAAUGUGGAAUCAGAGGAAAUGAGGCUUUUUGUCGACUCAUCACAUACAAAAAGCUUAAUACAGUAGUAAUUAAUUCUAUGGAGAUUUCUUUUUUGCUCUCUGUGGCUUUUUGUUUUUUAAUAAUUUCCCCUUGAGCCUUAUCCCUUGGUGCAAAUGGAAAGCAGUCAAAUUUUUUUUCCUGUGUUUUGGCAUUUUGCAGGAUAAACAGGCCCACCAUCAACUACUCUAGUAUAAAACAUUAGCUCCAUAACCCCCCAUUUAUAUAUAUGCAAAACCCACCAAGCUCAUUCUGGUUUUUCUCAAACUUCUGUUGCCAAUUUUGGAGAACAUGAAGCCACAGCAUCUGCAACUGUAAGGAAGAUUUUGUCCUCGCCAAUUGUAUUUGCAAAAUUGGACGCAUGGAGCUUGUCAAUCACCACAGGACCAGGAUUUGCCAGAAUAAGCUGCACAACAGACAUAGGGAAACUCCUGUUGAAUAUACUGUUGAAGACACUGGCUGCUGAAUGAAUUCACAUGCAUUGCAGGAUCGUUUACAAGACAACCAUCGUUAGAAAGAAGACAAUUCUGAUAUGAAGCAAAAGCCUGGUAUACUUCACCAAACAUGUUAAAGGUUGCCUUCUUUAGCUUUUAUUUGUUUUGUUUCAUAUUUUAUUAAUGUUAAAAGACAGCCUAGAAAGCUAGAAAUUCUAGAACUUAAGAACAGAACAUUCUAGAACUGAAGAACAGAACAACAUGCAACUUAACCCAUGCUCACUGUAAAUGCUACCCUGGAAAGGAAAAAGGCAACUAAGAGGAACUCUAUGGUGUGGUCAGAGGUAAAGAAACUGAAGCUAACCACAACAAAAUAAGGAAACUUGUGGAAAAAAGGAGUCUUAGACAACAAUUGUAAGAAGAUGCAAAGCCUUCUUGAUCAUGAAAAGGUGUUAUAUCAGCUCCUGCCCAUGUAAGUUAUGAAAGUAUUACUGGUCAAACCCUCCUACUCAAGGGAGGGAAUCGUCAUGAUUACUAAGAAUCUAGAUCACUUACAUGUCACAUACACAACACAAAACAAAGUGGACUAAAUUUUUAGAAAAAAUUGAGGCCGUCCAGGCCAUGUGUUAUUCUACACUUAGAGAUUGAUGUAAGCAAGCGAUCAUCUACUCCAUAGUUGUGGCGCUUAAAAGGUUAGGGGGAAAAAUGCAGCUUUAGAACGUGUUGACUUGGGAGCACAGAUCGUAGCAGCUAAAAAACUGCCAUAACAUAGCUCUCUCUCUCCCUUUCCGGUCUUCUUUUUCUAUUUUUUUUUUUUUUUGCUCAUAUCAUCAAAAGUUCACAGAGCAUGUAAAAAAGGUCUAAAUUGAUGGCUAGUAGAUUAUAUUAUAUAUUCAGGGUCAGAAAAGUGAAAAAGCUUAAAAUGAAAGCUUGGCCCAUCACAACCAGCGAUCAAAAGUAGCAUUUUCUUUUUUGCUACUUCGAAAUGGAGUUUUGGGCAAAAAAUGAAUCAGGUGUAAUGUCUUCAAUAUUAAAGGUACUGUAAUAUUGUGUUAGAUUGAUGUUGCAGCCACUAGAACUGAUUUGCUUCUCACCUAAGUUUCUAUGAUUUAUUUGUACUGAAAAUUAAGAUGAAAAAAGAACAAAGCAAACAACAAAAAGGUUUUAGCAUCACUUCUGUUCUUGUACAAUAUUCAUACUCAUCCAAAGGAAAACAACUGACAUUCAUAUCCAGAGCACAGAAAUUCUUAUCACUAUUUUAGUCUAAUAGAAAAUGACAUCAAAGGAUAAGCAUCCUAAUCCCUUCUCACUACAAGUAAAGCCACAAAUAUAUAUAUGCAUGCUGUCCUAGAAAAGGAAAUAAACAAAUUGGAAUAAAAUUCCAAUUUUCUCAACUUCUGAAAAUUUUGAAGGCGAACUUGAUUAAAUAAAACAAAGCAGGAACGUCUUAAACAUUAAGUUGAUUAUUAGUCAUUUAAUUCUCUCUAAUUCACUGCUCUAUAUGUCUAAUUCACUGCUGUAUAUAUACUCAUGAAAACAAUAGUACAGUAACCCAAACCCAGAAUUCAUAUCUUUCUUUUCAACUAAGCAUAUGAUAUGGGCAUCUUCCAAAUUGCAAGUCUCUUAUUGGAGAAUAAAGGGGCCUUCAGAGAGUGUAUCUCACCUCCAUAUUCAUGUACUCCUCAUGAAAGCCGUUGAUAGUGGACAACAGGAUUACCCUUCUCAAACCAAAAAAGAUCUUUCCUUGUCAAAACCUGGCACUCAAUCGCCCAAAAACAGAUAGCACCUUCCCAUUAAGUACGCCAGACUUGAUGGUCCUUAUGUUUCCAAAUACCCCAUAAUCAUCAUUGAUGAAUAAACAAAAGAACUUAAACUUACAAAUAAGACAAUUCCCAAAUGCCGUCCAGGUUCAAUGUAUUUUCUUACAACUCUAAAAAAGGGAAAAAUCAUGAACGGGCCCAAAAAAAUUUGCUGCCAUGUUUGGUUUCCGAGAAAAAAGAGAAGAAAGAAACUCCAGGAAACAAACUUCUUUCAACAUUAAAAUCAAAACUUUGAACUCUAUUCUCUACUAAAAAUAAAGAGACAGAGAGCAGUACUCUUUGGCUCGCAUGUAAGUUCGAGUUGUUGUGCUUGAACCGG